UUUGUUUUGCAGCUUGUUGCCAUUGGCCCACGUAGCAGGUUGCCUCCCGAAGAAAACCCACACACACGACCUCUCUCUUUUCAUCUCCUCGGGCCCCUUGCCCCCUUCCUGCGGCUCCGCCACCGCUGCCCUCCAAAUCCACCGCACGACUGCAGAGGGCUAGCCCUCCCGCGCCGGCAACAUACCUCCGCCUCCUGGUCUUCUCUAUCUCGCCACUGGAUCGGCUGGCUGUGGCUAGGGAAGGCGGCGGGGCCGACGUCGAGAGUGAAGGCAGGUUUGUGGGAACUCAUCGAUCCGGUCAGUGGAGCGCAUCUUCCCUUCGUCGCGGCUGCUGUUCUAUUGGGGUGCUUGCCAUCCUUGGGUGGUGAUGCUCAUCCACCCUGGCAUGUAAGUUGUGUUCCAUCCAUCCCCAUCCCUCUCGUGUUUAUGUUGUCUGAUUGAAUGAUUAGGGCGAUUUCAUGAUUGUGGGAGAUUUCUUGCUCUUCUGAGCUUGUGGAAGUGGCUACUUGUGGAGGUUGAUUGAUUUGGUUGGUUCGUUGCCAGGAGAGUGACGGUUAGGAGAUAUGUUCUUGUUUUUGGUACAUGUUCACAUACUGACAUAAUAAUAUAAUGUGAUAAAUUCAGUUCGUCUUUUUAAAUAGGCAAUAUGUUCUUUUUUGAUUUCUCUACAAGAUCUCAGAUAGUCAACUAUCAUCAUUCUUAAAUCAAAGGGAAGAUUGUGAUCCUCGCAGUCCUCAUAAUGAAUUUAAAACAGGAAAACUGUAACCUGAAGCUUUGAGUUUUAUCACCUGACCUUUUCUGUUGAUAAUGAACACCAGGCUAUAAAUCUUCACGUUUCUUUCUUGUUUAAGCUUGCCGGUCGAUCUGACAAGCUCGUCGAGUAUGUCGCCCUCCUCCUCGUCCGCUUCCUCCACAUCCUCUAGCACCUGCAUGCACGCCCCCCACGUCAGCGAAUUCAUACGUCUGGUCUACUUAUGAUAUCCACAUACCAUCUUUUCGACGAUAUGCCCAUACAGAUUGUUUGGAUCUGUUUCUACUAUACAGGUGCUUAAUCUUGGUGUGGAUUGAGGCAUCACAAUUUUGUUUGGCUAGGGUGUGCAGACCAGGACACACAUAAUGGUGAGCCCCUUGGUCAUCAACUGAUCCAUCACCGAGGUAUGUAUUCACCACAGAAUCUGAUCAUAUGCAUUCUCCUUAUAAUCUAGAGAUUAUAGUUCUUCAGAAUAACUGUGUUAUCGAGCCGCGAGGCGCCGCUUGCUGUUAGACUAGCUAGAGUAUGCGAGGAUGACUUUGGCAUAUGGAUGUUGUUGUUCCAAGUUGAAUUUCAAAGAUACUUGAGAGGAAUUUCACCAGUUCCUGGGAUAAUUUGAUAUUUUGACGUGCUUUGUUAACUCUGUAUAUGUGUUUAGGUCGUAAGUCUGAUGAUUUCGUAGUUAUCAUCCUCCUUUGAGGGCGGUGCUUAUGUUAGACAUUUUUGGGAUGUCACCCUCUGUAUUUCGUGGGGAAAGAGAGAAGGAACAGAGAUUAAUGGAUUAUGACUGCGGUUAUUAGUUUGGGUGGGUUGGAUGUUUCACAUAUUUGGUGUUUUUGGUCCUGGAUUGUGAAAUAUUUAUUUUGUUGAAUGUUUUCCCUUGUACUGGAUUAUGUUAUCACAUGAAACGUACUGCUUGGAGCAAAGCAUGGCUGCUUGCAGCACUCUGUAUACCUUCUGUUGACUCUCCAUUUCAUUCUACUACAGUUAAAUUCUGCGAUCCAACAAAUGUGUCUUCGUUUCAGAAAAUAAGCAGUGCAUCGUACCAUUGUAGCACAUUUACCUAUAGCUCAUUGUCUAUGCCAUUCUUAGUAUAAUAUAAAGGGAAAUAAUCAACUGUUAGAUGAACUAGAAUAUGUAUUCUGGACACAAUCUCUCCGUGCAGAUCUUUUU